AUGAAGCUUAUUGUUCGGGCAGCAUCACUAAUAGCUGUGGUUCAGGCCUGGAUCCUGUUGGUCCAUAAGAGAGAUGUUCGUCUGAAUGAGAAACCUCGCAUCCGGUAUGGUCCGAUGUUAAUCUAGGAUCAAGAGAGGAUAGCAAAUCCGAACUUCAUCUACAACUGCAAUGACACAGAAGCUCUAUGGAUGAUUCGAAUGAAAAGAGCACCUUUCGCCAGGCUUGUGAAGACGAUUAGGAGGAGGAGGCUGCUACAAGAUAGCAUCCACACCACCGUGGAAGAGCAAGUGGCUAUGUUCCUCCAUGUUGUUGGUCAUAACCAGAGGUUCAUGGUUGUACACAACACAUUCAGGAGAUCAAUGGAGAGGUACUUCAAGCAAGUGUUUUAUGUUGUUGGUGAGCUCAAAGGGGAUAUGAUCAGGUCACCAACCGACCGGACUCCUAUCAAGAUUCACACUAGCCCAAGAUGGUAUCCAUACAUCAAGGUGAGCACUUACAAUAUGUAG
rnacentral:rRNA from 1 species